UGGGGAAUAUUGGACAAUGGGCGCAAGCCUGAUCCAGCAAUGCCGCGUGGGUGAAGACGGCCUGCGGGUUGUAAAGCCCUUUGGGUGGGGAAGAACGGCGGGCGGCGAACAGCGGCCCGCUCUGACAUUACCCACGGAACAAGCACCGGCUAACUCCGUGCCAGCAGCCGCGGUAAUACGGAGGGUGCGAGCGUUAAUCGGAAUUACUGGGCGUAAAGCGUGCGUAGGCGGUUUGGUCAGUCAGCCGUGAAAGCCCCGGGCUCAACCUGGGAACGGCGGUUGAGACGGCCAGACUCGAGUGGGCUAGAGGAUCGUGGAAUUCCCGGUGUAGCGGUGAAAUGCGUAGAGAUCGGGAGGAACACCGAUGGCGAAGGCAGCGGUCUGGGGCCACACUGACGCUGAGGCACGAAAGCGUGGGGAGCAAACAGG
rnacentral:rRNA from 1 species